UUCUCUAUAUACAGACUUGGCUUUGACAAGCAUCAGGCUCGGAGUGAACAUUAACCCUAUACUUCAACUGACGUCAGAUAUGUGGAUCUAUAGUGUAUGUACAGAAGUUUCAAGAAUCGAACAAUCUGAUUGGACGUUGUCAGCUAAGAAUAUUGUGUAGUGAUACUGCUGAUAGGCUGAGAAAUGUCUUUAUUAUUUGUGUGUUCCAGGAGCCUUUCGUGUAUGUGCAGUGCAUGUGUGACAUGGCAGUGAGUAAGCUCUCACACUCAAUCCAGCCACUCAAUCUCAUGAGCUGCAUGACACGUAACCUUAUAACUCCCUGAUGAAUACUAUAAUUAUGAGCUCUUUUUGCAUGGGGGAUACACUUAAGAAUUUGUGCAUGUAUAUAGCAUUAGACUAGCUGCAAAACCGCUUAAAACUUCUACAUUCAGACAAAACUGCAUAAGGUCUAUGAGAGGUGCAAUAUGACAACAAAUGUUGGUUAUGAUGUAUUGGUGAGUUGCAACGAGCAGCUAGCUGCUGACUUCGCUUCAGAUCCGGGAGGAUACGCUGGAGUUUUGUUCCAAAACCAUUUGAUAUCAGAAGAAACGAAUCAGGAAAUCCAGCUUGACAAAACAAACACGGCAAAAGCCAGGAUUUUAGUGCUAGAAUUGCAGGCAAAAGUCAAAAGUUUUCCAGGAAUUUAUGAUAAAUUCAUUGCAAUACUUCGGGAAAGGAAUGAGCGACAUGAUGACCUCCUCUUAUCAGUGCUUACAGAUAAGUACGAAGCUGUGGAUCAAGUACAAGGAGUUAGAAGCUGUAACAGACAGACAUAAUACUGGUACAUAGAUAUAGUAAUUACACUGCUGCCAACUCAGACACAGCUAUUAGCUCUAUGUUUUUCCUAUAUAUAAUUAUGGAGACCAUCGUGGAAGUAUAUACAUAUAUUAUUUUUGAUCUUGA